GGAGGCAACACCAGUGAAAUAUCAGUGCUAUAGCACCAGAGGCAAAGUCUCACCUUCCAGUUCAUUCUUAGCUUUUCUCAGUGACUUUCUAAGUGAAUUUGCUUAUGACUUUGAAUAGUAGUGUUUUUAGGUAUGAUGACACAAUUGCCAGAUGAUAUUUACUGAUGCCUGUAAUAACUUGCGGGAGGUUCUGGAGUCCCAUGGUUAUUAAUCUCUGGAGGCUUCACCAUCCUUUGUGGGUUCCUUUAAUUAUCUCCAUUGCCUCAAAAGCUGUGGGAAAACCGAAACGUGGGACCUUUAACAGACAUGUCCAAAGUCACGCAGCAGAAAAAAGCAAGUCUUGCAGUUUGGUGGGAGAGAGUAUGCAGUCACCAACAUGGCAUGAAUUUAGGAGUGAAUAAACGAAAGAAAAGAAAAAAACCUAUUAUUUAGAGUGCUAUGAAUGGUGUAAGCAAGCCUCUUUUGAGAGAGAAGAGCUUCACGGAGAAGCAGAUUUUGCUGGUGGUGAAACAGGGGAAGGUCAUUCCUGGCAGAGGGAGCAGGUGAGCCCAGACAGGCCUGAUAGAAGUCAGUCUGACUCUUCCUUGACCACUUUAAGCCCCAGUAGCCGGCCCAGAUCCUCCCACGAUUCUUGCUGCCUCCCGAACUGCAGUGUGAGCAAAUGAGAUAAGUACAAAAUAUUCCUACACCACUGGCUCCAUGCUCUCCUCAUAUUCAAUCAUGAAGACUAAUGAACCAGAGAUGAUUACGGUGGUAAAAAUCCAAAUGCAGAUUUUUGCUGUCCUUACUAAUGAGAGAAAAAUAUAGUAGACCAUUGGCCUAAAGGCUCCAGAUGCGAUUCCUUUGUAACUUAGAGUGCAUUAAAAAAGCUUCAGUCAGCAAGAUAAGUUAAUUUUUUUAUGACCUUUAUAAACUCUUUUAGCCUGUAUCUCGGGAGCUUCUUAAAGAUUAAAUUUUAAAAAAUCCUUUUAGCUCAGGCCAACACAGCAUCUGAGUCUUUUUUGCUUCCAAGGCUACAUCCAAAAUCUAUAAAAAAAUUCUGUUCAUGACAAUUAUUGUCAAAGUAAUGAUUAGCUAACAUGUCAUUUUUAGUUUUUACUGUUCUUGCCUCUAUGAGACUAAUCCAAUAAAGCUCACAUCUUCUUAAUGUAAAAGUUGCAUGAAGGAUGCAUUAUUCCCGUUGACUUUGCCUACAUUUGCAAAUUCUUGAAAAAGCAAAUUGAAUUGUCACUAGUGGCACCUCUUUCACAGGAUGAUUGUUGGGUCAAAGUGAGAGUGUAGGGGACAAAUAUCAAGAUUUUUGUUAAAAGAAAAAAAUCCCUACCUAAGAACUGUAAAGCUGUAUUAAUAUAUAAUUGAGGCCAUGGACUUUAGUAGACCAUAAGGCACAGCUACCCAAGGUGAUGGGUAUAAUUUUGCAGGGGGAGGAAUGUCGGAGGAAUGUGAAGGGCUCUUCAUUGAUGGCAUCACAAAUUUAAUUUAUUAUGUGAAACAUGUAGUUUCUUCUCACCUCUUUGGUUGUAGGAUAACUGCUCCUUUUAAACACUGUGCUUUUGACUGGCUUGAUUGGUAACUACAAAAGUCAUCAUCCUAGGCAUCUGUCACUACUUCUAUUACAUCCAACCUACUGACCCAGAAAAUCUGUGGUUGACACAAUUGAUUUCUCUAAAAGAUUCAUUCAGCAUUUAUUUUAUUUUUGACAUCCACCUACAAGGUCCCACAGAAAUUUAGUACCUACAUCUCUGUGUAAGAGAAACACAGCCCUUUAUAAAAAGUGCAUAUCCUGAAGUGAGGAGCUGGAACAAAGCAGGAGUCUUGCUUAGAAUGAUUCACUGAAGUAACUGGAUUUAUUAAGAUGUAUGUGAGCUUUGGUGACUAUGCCACUGAAGACAUUUGUGCUCACCUCGUGAGAGGCUGCCACUGGAAAUAACAACAACUAAUAAUAAUAAUAAAAGGAAAGAAAAGACUCAAGUUAUAAGACUUAUCCUUGUAUUAUCAAACUACUCUGAAUCUUAACCUUCUCUAUGUCUCUUUCCCUUCUUUCCUCUCGGGAUGCCUUCCUUUAGAUCCCAGAAAGCAUCUUGAUUUCAAACUAAGAUAUACAAGCCACAUGGCUUAAAUAGAUGCUUGACAGUUAUCUAUUACUUCCCAUGUAUAUUGCCAUGCUACCUCAUUAUAUAGAAAGGUUACGUGAUUCUUUUUUCAAGGCAUAUAGAUAAUUAACUGCCAGAUUCAGAAUUCACCCUUAAUUGUUUAUCUUGUAAAUAUAUUGGCAUCUUCUCAUGUGCUCUAAAAUCUAAUGACCUGGCUUGGUCAUGCAUCAUCCUAUGAAUUUGCUGAGAAAUGAGCAAUGGGAGGGAAUAUAGAGGUCUGUAUAAAAUGGCAGUAGUGGUCUUUGCUUACUGAAUUCAUACAUCUAAGUAGAUUAAAUUAUUUCUCUUUUUAUCUUGUUAGCUAAGAAUUUUCAGCUUGGGCUGAGCCUCAGGUCCAAUCAGUUUCUGUCUCACUAGCUACAUUUCAAAAGCUUGAUAGCCACAGGUGGCCAGUGACUACUCUAUUGAACAGUGCAGAAAUAGGACAUUUCCAUCAGUGCAGGAAGUGUGGUCUAGAACACAUCAUGAAGAGGAGUUACAGCAGAAGUUGUCAGGAAAAGGGAAGGUGGAAAGUCCUGGGAGUGCAGUAAUGUUGCUGUGAGAGAAGAGACCCUGAAAGAGCGGAUGAAGGUGAAGGUGCUUACUAAAUAUUUGUUGAACCAUUGAAGAAAAAGAUGAAUACUUCAAACAUGAUGGAAUGUUGUGGAGACUGGCAAUGCUGCUGACAAAAGCAUAUGACUGCCCUGAAGAUUUCUGGAAAAAAGCACUUUAAAGAAGCAGGAAAGCAGAUGGAGGGGGACCAGUUUUUUCCACAGAAUCCCUUUUCAUUUGGGGUAAGAUGCUGAAGACUAAUGACUAAGAAAGUCCAAGAAAACUAAGACUUCAUCUUCCUGGAAAAAUUGAAGCCAUUGAUUGGAACAAGAGAAACACCAAGACAGGAAGGGACGUAGAAAUUUUCCCUCUAUCCCUCUUCCAUUACAGAGACAUGGAAAAUCCCAGUAUAUGUUUGUUUAUUUCUCUAUUUCUUCUUCUCAUACAGAAUUUAAAAAUAAUAAAUUGGGAUGCAUUGGUGAGCUAGGCCUCUGGGGCUCUUGCUUUAAAUCAUUCUUUUGGUGCUGUUCCCUAUUCAGGUGUUCACAUUCAUGCUAACUCUCCCUCAAACACAUUUACAACAACCACUGAGUUAAAAUUUUUCCCUUGGUCCUUAAAUAUUAUGUUACUA
rnacentral:lncRNA from 10 species